rnacentral:misc_RNA from 1 species
GGCAAUUUUAAAAUGUGUUCUCCUCCUAUUUUUCUAGGCUUUAUGGAAGUCAUUGCUAAGGAAGAUGUGUAAGUGUUGUCAUUUAUUGUGUCCGUGUUUGUUAACUAGGUUCAGGGUGUACCAGGCCCUAGAGCCAGCACCUUUGCAAGGAUGAGGCAGGUGGUAUCACAUACAACUAGUAUUGAUACCUGAUAGAGUUAGGAAAAUAAAGUUAAAGAAAUGAAGAAUAAACAGAACACUGGAGGAAUUUACUGAGUUGUAUAUUGAUAUUGGUGAAGCUCAAAACAGUCCACUCAAGAUUACAAUAUAUAACUCUUUCCUCUCUUCUUUAAAUUACUAAUACUUAGUAAAAGAAACAAGAUAAUCCCAGUAGAAGACCUCCCAAACUAGACUGGCUAGCCCACAGCACAAGACUGCCAAAUUACAGCAAAAAUAAUCCUCCCUUCUUCAGCAGCAAGGCCUUUAUUUAUAUUAGUAGCAGCAUUCUCUUCAGUCGCCUUUCCCAUGUGAUUCACCACCCGAAAUUCUCUCUAACUGCCAUCGAGCUGUGCAAUUCCAGAUAUUUGCAUUCCCUGUUCAGGAACCUUCUUCUUCACAUUUCUGCGGAAGCAUACCUUCAGAGGCCUUGGGCAUGGAUUAGUACAUGCUGGGCUUUCACUUUCACCAGAGCUGACAAUACCUAUAAUUUACCCUACUAAUACUACUACUACUACUAUUACUACUUCUUCUUCUUCUUCUCAUUUCUGCGGAAGCAU